GAUGUGCAAGCGUGCGCGCGCGUGAGAGAGAUAGACACGAAGAGAGUUGCGCGCACUGGUUUGGAGUGGUUUUGGAAAGCUGUUGGUAACUGACGGAUCAAUGCUUCAUGUUUGACUGCAGUGUUUUAUUUUUAUAGUUUGUUUAUAGUCUGUGAUGUUCGGCUCGGAGAUCAAUUUUUUCACGAAUCGGUUUAAUUGCAGUUUUUUUUUGCGUCGUGCGCAAUAUCUUACGCGCUGCUGGAUUAACAUGAACGUGCGCAGAUUUGGGAUUUUGGAUUUCAGUGAAGUAACAUAUGCGGGCUCUCUGACAGCCAGGGUCUGGAUUUGGCCGAAGAGUCAAGAGAAAAUCACAUCUGAAGUCAGAGGUUACAGAUUUUCAGCUUUCUACAAAAUAAAAUCUUCAAAAACUGAAUAAAGAAACUCAUAAAUGUUUGGAACCAGUUGUUUGGGGU